AACGAACGCUGGCGGCAUGCCUAACACAUGCAAGUCGAACGAGACCUUCGGGUCUAGUGGCGCAUGGGUGCGUAACGCGUGGGAACCUGCCCUUAGGUUCGGAAUAACUCCCCGAAAGGGGUGCUAAUACCGGAUAAUGUCUUCGGACCAAAGAUUUAUCGCCUUUGGAUGGGCCCGCGUUGGAUUAGCUAGUUGGUAGGGUAAAAGCCUACCAAGGCGACGAUCCAUAGCUGGUCUGAGAGGAUGAUCAGCCACACUGGGACUGAGACACGGCCCAGACUCCUACGGGAGGCAGCAGUGGGGAAUAUUGGACAAUGGGCGAAAGCCCGAUCCAGCAAUGCCGCGUGAGUGAUGAAGGCCUUAGGGUUGUAAAGCUCUUUUACCCGGGAUGAUAAUGACAGUACCGGGAGAAUAAGCUCCGGCUAACUCCGUG
rnacentral:rRNA from 1 species